CCCUUAGACGUUCUGGGCCGCACGCGCGCUACACUGACACAGGCAACGAGCUUUCCUUUACCGAAAGGUAUGGGUAAUCUUUUGAAACUGUGUCGUGCUGGGGAUAGAUCCUUGCAAUUUUUGAUCUUAAACGAGGAAUUCCUAGUAAGCGCGAGUCAUCAACUCGCGUUGAUUACGUCCCUGCCCUUUGUACACACCGCCCGUCGCUCCUACCGAUUGGGUGUGCUGGUGAAAUGUUCGGAUCGGCCGUUUGUCGCGGUUUCCGCGUCAUGUGGCUGAGAAGUUCAUUAAACCCUCCCACCUAGAGGAAGGAGAAGUCGUAACA
rnacentral:rRNA from 1 species